CACGGUAAUCAAACUCAUCCCAGACCCGGUAUAGCAUUUCCGCUGUAAUGGCCUGCAUUGCAAGCGUUAUCCGAUCAUGAAGUUCAUGGAUGGACGUGGGCAUUGGUGGUACAUAAACGCUGUCUUUAACGAACCCCCAAAGAAAGAAAUCGCACGGAGUAAGUUCUGGCGAACGGGGUGGCCAAGGGACACCUCAAAACGGAGCACACAGAAAGCCUUCUCCUGCUGCAACGCCAUCUUUGAAACUGGCCCCGCGGCCACGCAGUAAGCAUGAGAAGCGAACUGCUGGUAGCGCAUGAGAAACUUGGACAGUUGCCGCCACUGACGGUGUCCGUGUAAGAGCCGAGGAUGACGUCUGGAGGCUGUGGGGAAGACUCCAGCUGACGCCAAUCUUGUUUAUUUGAUAACUCGUGGGACCUGGAUGGCGAGAACAUGGACCUGGCACUGUUUAUGGCACUGUCCAGCGUCCAACUGGGAACCAGUCUCAUGAGACGGCGUACGUCGCUUGCAGCCCCCGUCUGUCGGAAGUAGCGAAAUGCGGAAAACGCCAUUUGCUUUAUACACAGCAUUGCUUGUCAGCAGGAUUAUUUACUUCACGCGUUGUAAAGAGCCUGUCUAAUUUAUUUCGCUGUGAACAGCUGCUCAGCGUAAUGAAGAAAGUGAAAUCAAGAAUUAGGACGCCUCUCGCUGAUUUCGGAUGGACUGUGAAUGUCAAAAAAAGAAAAUAAACCUCAUACAGAAUGAUUACUCAAGUAAAAAUAGUGUACU